rnacentral:tRNA from 1 species
GCCCUCGUAGCUCAGGGGAUAGAGCAACCGCCUCCUAAGCGGUAGGCCGCCAGUUCAAAUCUGGCCGAGGGCA